UACAGAGGGUGCGAGCGUUAAUCGGAUUUACUGGGCGUAAAGCGUGCGUAGGUGGUCUUUUAAGUCGGAUGUGAAAUCCCUGAGCUUAACUUAGGAAUUGCAUUCGAUACUGGGAGACUAGAGUAUGGGAGAGGAUGGUAGAAUUCCAGGUGUAGCGGUGAAAUGCGUAGAGAUCUGGAGGAAUACCGAUGGCGAAGGCAGCCAUCUUGCCUAAUACUGACACUGAGGUACGAAAGCAUUGGGAGCAAACAGGAUUAGAUACCCUGGUAGUCCAUGCCGUAAACGAUGUCUACUAGCCGUUGGGGUCUUUGAGACUUUAGUGGCGCAGCUAACGCGAUAAGUAGACCGCCUGGGGAGUACGGUCGCAAGACUAAA
rnacentral:rRNA from 1 species